AUUGAACGCUGGCGGCAGGCCUAACACAUGCAAGUCGAGCGGAUGAAGGGAGCUUGCUCCUGGAUUCAGCGGCGGACGGGUGAGUAAUGCCUAGGAAUCUGCCUGGUAGUGGGGGAUAACGUCCGGAAACGGGCGCUAAUACCGCAUACGUCCUGAGGGAGAAAGUGGGGGAUCUUCGGACCUCACGCUAUCAGAUGAGCCUAGGUCGGAUUAGCUAGUUGGUGGGGUAAAGGCCUACCAAGGCGACGAUCCGUAACUGGUCUGAGAGGAUGAUCAGUCACACUGGAACUGAGACACGGUCCAGACUCCUACGGGAGGCAGCAGUGGGGAAUAUUGGACAAUGGGCGGAAGCCUGAUCCAGCCAUGCCGCGUGUGUGAAGAAGGUCUUCGGAUUGUAAAGCACUUUAAGUUGGGAGGAAGGGCAAUAAGUUAAUACCUUGCUGUUUUGACGUUACCAACAGAAUAAGCACCGGCUAACUUCGUG
rnacentral:rRNA from 1 species